rnacentral:pre_miRNA from 1 species
AGUGAAAUUGCUGGGUUAUAUGGUAAUUCUAUUUUUAAUUUUUUGAAGAAGUAUCACCCUGCUCUCCAAAAUAGCUGCACCAUCUUACAUUCCCACCAGUAAU